rnacentral:rRNA from 1 species
UACGGAGGGUGCAAGCGUUAUCCGGAUUCAUUGGGUUUAAAGGGUGCGUAGGCGGAAUGAUAAGUCAGCGGUGAAAUCCCUCGGCUUAACCGAGGAACUGCCGUUGAUACUGUCAAUCUUGAGUACAUUUGAUGUGGGCGGAAUGUGUCAUGUAGCGGUGAAAUGCUUAGAUAUGACACAGAACACCGAUUGCGAAGGCAGCUCACAAAAACUGUAACUGACGCUGAGGCACGAAAGCGUGGGUAUCAAACAGG